CUGCUUUUGCUUUUGGCGUUCCUAGAGAAGUGGCAGCUGGUCUCACGUCACGCCAUGUUUGAUUGGCUCACGGACAAGGUGCUGGACAUUCAAGCACCAGAGAAUAACCUCAAGAGGCUAAAUGGUUGUCCAAGGGCGGCCAACAACAUUUGGAGAGCGAGUUGAUAGUCAAGUGGUAGUGUUAAGAGAAGAAUGGCCACUUUGUGGUAGCCAUUCGAGUUGUCUCCUGUCUUUCUUGACUCCACAACAUGGCCAUCAGUUGGAGAAUCCAGCUGGCCACUUCCUCGAUGAGAUGUUGGAGAAAACGGACUUUGCUGAAGUUUAGUCCCAAGUCUGAAGCUCCUUGUCCAUUCUCCUUACGCCAUUCUGGACUACUACCGACACCGAUUGGAUUUAAUCAGCAACACGUGCCUGGAUCGCCAAUAUCUGGUCAAUUGGUCAUGGAUCAACCCUCGUAGAACCUCGGCAUAAUUCUCAAAUUCGGGAGGGGUGCCCAUACUCCGUCAACUAAAACAAUCACCGUUCGUCCAUGGAUUGUACCAUCAACUUGUUCCAGGUCCUCCAGUUAUACUCGACGUCCUACGACUAGCUUCAAGCCAAGGCCCACCAUAGGCCUCCAUCCACCAGGCCUCGAUCUCCUGGCUCAUAUUGGAAUCUUCCAAUUGUACCCAGCAGUACUCAUCGGGAAUAUACUCCACUUCCGACAUCCGCCUCCUGUCGACUACCACGGUACCACCCGGCCGAGUAGCAUUCGUCCAACUCCAAAAAUUCCAUUCACUGCGGCCCGUCCAUAUACUAGACGCCCUUCUCUUUCGAGCUAGACCAGCUACACACCGAAUUUCUGAAGGAAAUAUCGCCUUCCGGCGUCCCGACUUCAACUUCGUGAUUCCGCCCUGUGUAUUUUCUCAACGUCUUGAAGACCACGAAAUCUGUGAUUGAUCUCCAUACACACCGCCGCUGCCUUUGUUCAGACAUUUUUGUUUAUUUGUUAAUAGCACUAAGAAAAUACGAACAUUGGUACAGAGAGAAGCCAAACUUCCGCUAAG